CUAAAUACAAGGCCUCAAGCCUAGACAGUUUUUUGGGCAAAAAACCACUAACUAUAUAUCUACUUUCAGUUUCAGCCCAUACCCAAAGGGGAAAAUUCCCGUUCUUCCCCAGGCCACAGCUCACUUCUCUCCUCUAUGGUCAGACCCUCCUCCGCGGCUCCCCAUCCAAGCUGAGUCGAGUUCUUCUCCCUGUAUGGCUGUAUUGAUUUUCAUUGCAGACUUGCAGUCAUGCAGUCAUCUUCUCCGGCUUUCCCCAUCCAAGCUUGCUUUGUUUUCUGAUUUGCUCCAAACGGGAGCAAAAAAGGAACGGCAGAUGAGUGGGAGUGGGUGUCUCAGGUUCUUGAUGGUCAUUGCAAACCAAUGCCACAAGUCUAUGUUCUUCCUUAGCUACCAGCUUAAUUUCUGAAUCAAACCCACCUCAGCUAUCAAUCUUCACAAGAUCCUGAUGAACCGGGUGAUCAUGCGAUUUUCUAUGAGCUUGAGAACGGUGAGCAAGUACAAUUUUAGUGAUCUACUUCUUUGCUUCGUAGAAAGAGAGAGAAGGGAAACGGGGAAUUGGAGAGGAGGAAGGGAGAAGGUCAUCAAGGCCAAUAAAGUGCGGAUUGGGUUGCUAUAUGUCAUCUCUGGACUUGGUGGGAGUUUGAUGUCUUCACUUUUCAUCCAGUCAAAUAUCUAUGUUGGUGCUUCUGGUGCACUUUUUGGAUUUCUGGGAGCCGUGCUUUCUGAACUUGAUUAUCACUAACCGGACAAUAUAUAUAUAUAUAUAUAUAUAUAUAUAUAUAUAUAUAAUUAUAUGCUAGUAAGGUAAAAGUUCAACUGCCUACAAAAGGCUUCGCAUUUACAAGAACUUUGGUGACUACCACUAAUUCCUUAUUGUUGUUCAGUUUGGAGCAAUUGUCACCCACCUGAUCAUAAUAGCAAUCAAUUCGGCUCAUUAAUAUCAUCAUACUAUCUCCUUUGGAACUUCAUUUUCUGCUCAUCACCACCAGUUUCAGCCCCUACUUUGUUGGCACUUGUUGUGAAAGAAUGCAGACCCUAAGCUAAUUAAGAACAGGGGAAGAAAGGGUGGAAGGAAUUAUAUUCUUUACAGGCCUUUCCAGGGCUAAUGGGGAUUUUUCUAGUAGUGCACGUCUCUAUGUCCCCAUCACUUAUAAAGAAUGCUCUCCGCAGAAUUGCUAGCUGGUGAAGGUCUGGAACUUAUGCGCAUCAAAUCCUAAUCGACUGAUAUGAUCCAGGCUAGUUGGCAUAUGCAUGUCAGCCUGCCUUUUAGUAUUUGACUUGAUAAUCCAUUCUAAACCGUACCUAUAUUAAUUAAUAAGGGA